GGUUGUGGCUCAGUGGUAGAGUGCUCACUUAGCAAGUGUGAGGCCCUGGGUUUGAUUCUCAGCACCA
rnacentral:tRNA from 1 species